rnacentral:rRNA from 1 species
UCUCGUGAGGGUAGCUGAAGGUACUGUACGAAUAAGCACCGGCUAACUCCGUGCCAGCAGCCGCGGUAAUACGGAGGGUGCAAGCGUUAUCCGGAUUUAUUGGGUUUAAAGGGUCCGUAGGCGGGCCCGUAAGUCAGUGGUGAAAUCUCAUAGCUUAACUAUGAAACUGCCAUUGAUACUGCGGGUCUUGAGUAAAUUUGAAGUGGCUGGAAUAAGUAGUGUAGCGGUGAAAUGCAUAGAUAUUACUUAGAACACCAAUUGCGAAGGCAGGUCACUAAGAUUUAACUGACGCUGAUGGACGAAAGCGUGGGUAGCGAACAGGAUUAGAUACCCUGGUAGUCCACGCCGUAAACGAUGCUAACUCGUUUUUGGAUUUUCGGAUUCAGAGACCAAGCGAAAGUGAUAAGUUAGCCACCUGGGGAGUACGUUCGCAAGAAUGAAACUCAAAGGAAUUGACGGGGGCCCGCACAAGCGGUGGAUUAUGUGGUUUAAUUCGAUGAUACGCGAGGAACCUUACCAAGACUUAAAUGGGAAAUGACAGGUUUAGAAAUAGACCCUUCUUCGGACAUUUUUCAAGGUGCUGCAUGGUUGUCGUCAGCUCGUGCCGUGAGGUGUUAGGUUAAGUCCUGCAACGAGCGCAACCCCUGUCACUAGUUGCUAACAUUCAGUUGAGGACUCUAGUGAGACUGCCUACGCAAGUAGAGAGGAAGGUGGGGAUGACGUCAAAUCAUCACGGCCCUUACGUCUUGGGCCACACACGUAAUACAAUGGCCGGUACAGAGGGCAGCUACACAGCGAUGUGAUGCAAAUCUCGAAAGCCGGUCUCAGUUCGGAUUGGAGUCUGCAACUCGACUCUAUGAAGCUGGAAUCGCUAGUAAUCGCGCAUCAGCCAUGGCGCGGUGAAUACGUUCCCGGGCCUUGUACACACCGCCCGUCAAGCCAUGGAAGUUUGGGGUACCGAAGUCGGGACCGUAAAAGGAGCUGCCUAGGGAAAACA